rnacentral:rRNA from 1 species
UAGGGAAUCUUCGGCAAUGGACGGAAGUCUGACCGAGCAACGCCGCGUGAGUGAAGAAGGUUUUCGGAUCGUAAAGCUCUGUUGUUAGAGAAGAACGUUGGUAGGAGCGGAAAAUCUACCAAGUGACGGUAACUAACCAGAAAGGGACGGCUAACUACGUGCCAGCAACCGCGGUAAUACGUAGGUCCCGAGCGUUGUCCGGAUUUAUUGGGCGUAAAGCGAGCGCAGGCGGUUCUUUAAGUCUGAAGUUAAAGGCAGUGGCUUAACCAUUGUACGCUUUGGAAACUGGAGGACUUGAGUGCAGAAGGGGAGAGUGGAAUUCCAUGUGUAGCGGUGAAAUGCGUAGAUAUAUGGAGGAACACCGGUGGCGAAAGCGGCUCUCUGGUCUGUAACUGACGCUGAGGCUCGAAAGCGUGGGGAGCAAACAGG